UAAAAAAGAAGUGCUGUUCCUUUUGGUUAGGGUCUGUGGCUUGGCAUCGUUUGUGGCAGCCUCACCAAGCUUGUGCUGCUCAUGUGGAUCACACUGCGGAUAAACUGGGAGAAAGAGGCAACCAACGCAAAAGAAACGGUGUUCAGUUCAUCUCUUCCCGUAGCAUGAUAGGCGAAGCGCGCCAGGGCUGUAUGGAGCGGGAGGCCAAGCGCGUCAGGUGGCUGGAGCAUGAGAUCAGGGCCAAGGCCCUGACGGUCGCCCGUCUCAGAUUGAGAAGCGGCAGAAGCGGCAGAUCGAGAAGCGGCAGAAGCGGUAGAUCAGGGCCAAGAGCUACCAUUCUUGGCGAGGGGGCCUGCUAGGAUGCGGCAUGUGGUUGGAAAGGGGAGCACGGACGAGUCACCCUUGCCACUGGAUCUAGAACUCCCACGAACUGGAUCUAGAACUCCGAUGAACUGGAUCUAGAACUCCGACGAGCAGUCUAUCGCGCAGUCCACUAGUUCGAGAUUUAAGAGAUCUGUUACCUGGACGACGACGAAGACUUGGCGCCCGCUGCUGGCGUCCGAGGAGGGAGGCCUGGUGGCGGCGCGGCACUGGCGUUCGAGGAGGAGGAGGAGAGCUUUCAGCUGAAUCCAGCACUGACGCGGCACUGGCCUGGCCUGGUGGUGGCGCGGCACUGAUGCCGACCCGGACGAUUGAUUCCGGCUAGGGUUGGAGGGUUUGAGUUUUGUAUACGGCAGUAUCCGAUUCGAAUAUACGUGAUUUCAAUAGAACCCAUGACAAACACAUGUAACGUUAUCUAAUACCCGAAGAAAUCAUUUACCGUUACAUUA